CCUACGGGGGGCAGCAGUGAGGAAUAUUGGUCAAUGGGCGGGAGCCUGAACCAGCCAAGCCGCGUGAGGGAAGAAGGUACAGCGUAUCGUAAACCUCUUUUGUCAGGGAACAAAGGCGGGGACUAGUCCCCUGAUGAGGGUACCUGAAGAACAAGCAUCGGCUAACUCCGUGCCAGCAGCCGCGGUAAUACGGAGGAUGCGAGCGUUAUCCGGAUUUAUUGGGUUUAAAGGGUGCGCAGGCGGCCUGUUAAGUCAGCGGUGAAAGCCCGGGGCUCAACCCCGGCGAGCCGUUGAAACUGGCGGGCUGGAGUGGGAGAGAAGUACGCGGAAUGCGCGGUGUAGCGGGGAAAUGCUUAGAGAUCGCGCAGAAUCCCGAUUGCGAGGGCAGCGUACCGGAUCCAGACUGACGCUGAGGUACGAAAGCGUGGGUAUCGAACAGGAUUAGAUACCCCAGUAGUC
rnacentral:rRNA from 1 species